rnacentral:misc_RNA from 1 species
AGUCGUAACAAGGUCUCCGUUGGUGAACCAGCGGAGGGAUCAUUACCGAGUUUACAACUCCCAAACCCCAAUGUGAACGUUACCAAUCUGUUGCCUCGGCGGGAUUCUCUUGCCCCGGGCGCGUCGCAGCCCCGGAUCCCAUGGCGCCCGCCGGAGGACCAACUCCAAACUCUUUUUUCUCUCCGUCGCGGCUCCCGUCGCGGCUCUGUUUUAUUUUUGCUCUGAGCCUUUCUCGGCGACCCUAGCGGGCGUCUCGAAAAUGAAUCAAAACUUUCAACAACGGAUCUCUUGGUUCUGGCAUCGAUGAAGAACGCAGCGAAAUGCGAUAAGUAAUGUGAAUUGCAGAAUUCAGUGAAUCAUCGAAUCUUUGAACGCACAUUGCGCCCGCCAGUAUUCUGGCGGGCAUGCCUGUCCGAGCGUCAUUUCAACCCUCGAACCCCUCCGGGGGGUCGGCGUUGGGGAUCGGCCCCUCACCGGGCCGCCCCCGAAAUACAGUGGCGGUCUCGCCGCAGCCUCUCAUGCGCAGUAGUUUGCACACUCGCACCGGGAGCGCGGCGCGGCCACAGCCGUAAAACACCCCAAAUUUUCUGAAAUGUUGACCUCGGAUCAGGUAGGAAUACCCGCUGAACCUAAGCAUAUCA